rnacentral:snRNA from 1 species
AUGCUUAUUUUGGGAGCACAUAUACUAAAAUUGGGAUGAUACAGAGAUUAGCAUGGCCCCCGAGCAAGGAUGACAUGCAAAUUUGUGAAGAAGAUAUUACAGCC